GAUGAACGCUGGCGGCGUGCCUAAUACAUGCAAGUCGAGCGAACAGAUAAGGAGCUUGCUCCUUUGACGUUAGCGGCGGACGGGUGAGUAACACGUGGGUAACCUACCUAUAAGACUGGGAUAACUUCGGGAAACCGGAGCUAAUACCGGAUAAUAUUUCGAACCGCAUGGUUCGAUAGUGAAAGAUGGUUUUGCUAUCACUUAUAGAUGGACCCGCGCCGUAUUAGCUAGUUGGUAAGGUAACGGCUUACCAAGGCGACGAUACGUAGCCGACCUGAGAGGGUGAUCGGCCACACUGGAACUGAGGCACGGUCCAGACUCCUACGGGAGGCAGCAGUAGGGAAUCUUCCGCAAAGGGCGAAAGCCUGACGGAGCAACGCCGCGUGAGUGAUGAAGGUCUUCGGAUCGUAAAACUCUGUUAUUAGGGAAGAACAUACGUGUAAGUAACUGUGCACGUCUUGACGGUACCUAAUCAGAAAGCCACGGCUAACUACGUG
rnacentral:rRNA from 1 species